rnacentral:rRNA from 1 species
UCCCGCCUGCCCAGUGACUCUUUAAACGGCCGCGGUAUCCUAACCGUGCAAAGGUAGCAUAAUCACUUGUCCCCUAAAUAGGGACUAGAAUGAACGGCUAAAUGAGGACAAAACUGUCUCUUACGGACCAACCAAUGAAAUUGAUCUUCCAGUACAAAAGCUGGAAUAAACCCACAAGACGAGAAGACCCUGUGGAGCUUUAAAACCAAAACCACCAAACAUGCUUCUUGGUUUUUUAGUUGGGGCGACUUUGGAGAAAAAACCAACCUCCAAAAAAUAAAUCCACCUAUUAAGAAUAAUACACCAAAAAUAGUUAAAUAGACCCAGCAACAUUUUCAUGUUGUCUGACCAAUAAACCAAGUUACCCCAGGGAUAACAGCGCCAUCCUCUUCUAGAGUCCCUAUCGACAAGAGGGUUUACGACCUCGAUGUUGGAUCAGGACACCCCUAUAGUGCAGCCGCUAUAAACGGUUCGUUUGUUCAACGAUUAAAGUCCUACGUGAUCU